UNUGACUUGAGUGCAGAAGGGGAGAGUGGAAUUCCAUGUGUAGCGGUGAAAUGCGUAGAUAUAUGGAGGANCACCAGUGGCGAAAGCGGCUCUCUGGUCUGUCACUGACGCUGAGGCUCGAAAGCGUGGGUAGCGAACAGGAUUAGAUACCCUGGUAGUCCACGCCGUAAACGAUGAGUGCUAGGUGUUAGGCCCUUUCCGGGGCUUAGUGCCGGAGCUAACGCAAUAAGCACUCCGCCUGGGGAGUACGACCGCAAGGUUGAAACUCAAAGGAAUUGACGGGGGCCCGCACAAGCGGUGGAGCAUGUGGUUUAAUUCGAAGCAACGCGAAGAACCUUACCAGGUCUUGACAUCCCGAUGCUAUUCUUAGAGAUAGGAAGUUACUUCGGUACAUCGGAGACAGGUGGUGCAUGGUUGUCGUCAGCUCGUGUCGUGAGAUGUUGGGUUAAGUCCCGCAACGAGCGCAACCCUUAUUGUCAGUUGCCAUCAUUAAGUUGGGCACUCCAGCGAGACUGCCGGUAAUAAACCGGAGGAAGGAGGGGAUGACGUCAAAUCAUCAUGCCCCUUAUGACCUGGGCUACACACGUGCUACAAUGGUCGGUACAACGAGUUGCGAGCCGGUGACGGCAAGCUAAUCUCUGAAAGCCGAUCUCAGUUCGGAUUGGAGGCUGCAACUCGCCUCCAUGAAGUCGGAAUCGCUAGUAAUCGCGGAUCAGCACGCCGCGGUGAAUACGUUCCCGGGCCUUGUACACACCGCCCGUCACACCACGAGAGUUUGUAACACCCGAAGUCGGUGAGGUAACCUUUUAGGGGCCAG
rnacentral:rRNA from 1 species